GCCGGGCGUGGUGGCGGGCGCCUGUAGUCCCAGCUACUCGGAGGCUGAGGCGGGAGAAUGGCGUGAACCCGGGAGGCGGAGCUUGCAGUGAGCCGAGAUCCGGCCACUGCACUCCAGCCUGGGCGACAGCGCAAGACUCCGUCUCAA
rnacentral:sRNA from 1 species